rnacentral:rRNA from 1 species
UACGUAGGGUGCGAGCGUUGUCCGGAAUUACUGGGCGUAAAGUGUGCGCAGGCGGCCGCGCAAGUCGAGUGUGAAAUCCCCGAGCUUAACUUGGGAAUUGCGCUCGAAACUACGUGGCUGGAGUGUGGCAGAGGAAGGUGGAAUUCCACGUGUAGCGGUGAAAUGCGUAGAGAUGUGGAGGAACACCGAUGGCGAAGGCAGCCUUCUGGGCCAACACUGACGCUCAUGCACGAAAGCGUGGGGAGCAAACAGG